rnacentral:rRNA from 1 species
CAGUCGACGGCAGCACGGACUUCGGUCUGGUGGCGAGUGGCGAACGGGUGAGUAAUAUAUCGGAACGUGCCCAGUCGUGGGGGAUAACGUAGCGAAAGUUACGCUAAUACCGCAUACGAUCUAAGGAUGAAAGCGGGGGAUCGCAAGACCUCGCGCGAUUGGAGCGGCCGAUAUCAGAUUAGGUAGUUGGUGGGGUAAAGGCUCACCAAGCCAACGAUCUGUAGCUGGUCUGAGAGGACGACCAGCCACACUGGAACUGAGACACGGUCCAGACUCCUACGGGAGGCAGCAGUGGGGAAUUUUGGACAAUGGACGCAAGUCUGAUCCAGCCAUUCCGCGUGCAGGAUGAAGGCCCUCGGGUUGUAAACUGCUUUUGUACGGAACGAAAAGGUCUCUCUUAAUACGAGGAGCUCAUGACGGUACCGUAAGAAUAAGCACCGGCUAACUACGUGCCAGCAGCCGCGGUAAUACGUAGGGUGCAAGCGUUAAUCGGAAUUACUGGGCGUAAAGCGUGCGCAGGCGGUUAUAUAAGACAGAUGUGAAAUCCCCGGGCUCAACCUGGGAACUGCAUUUGUGACUGUAUAGCUAGAGUACGGUAGAGGGGGAUGGAAUUCCGCGUGUAGCAGUGAAAUGCGUAGAUAUGCGGAGGAACACCGAUGGCGAAGGCAAUCCCCUGGACCUGUACUGACGCUCAUGCACGAAAGCGUGGGGGAGCAACAGGAUUAGAUACCCUGGUAGUCCACGCC